UACGGGGGGGGCAAGCGUUGUUCGGAAUUACUGGGCGUAAAGGGCUCGUAGGCGGCCGCGUAAGUCACUUGUGAAAUCCCGGGGCUCAACUCCGGGGCCGCAGGUGAGACUGCGUGGCUAGAGAUUGGUAGAGGCGAGUGGAAUUCCCGGUGUAGCGGUGGAAUGCGUAGAUAUCGGGAAGAACACCGGUGGCGAAGGCGGCUACGCUGGGCCAUUUCUGACGCUGAGGCGCGAAAGCGUGGGGAGCAAACAGGG
rnacentral:rRNA from 1 species